AGAUCCGUACAGGACUGACGGAAUCAAGUGGAGUCACCACGUGAACUGUACGGACCCUUUCAUGCCGACCGUCUGGGCAAGAGUA
rnacentral:ncRNA from 10 species